UCCAGUCCACACUCCCCUCCUUGCCGAGGAAGGGCGACCACUACUUCGCUCUGCCUCAGGGGCUCUCUCCGCCCUUACCCGCCUCCCUCACCUGCUCAGAACAACGACUCCUGCUUAGAGACCUAAAUCCUUCUUAGUGCCCCUCACGUCUCAGAAGCCCCGCACUUCCCUCCAGCAUUUCCUCAAGAGACGCUCAAGUCUCCUUAGAGACCCCCCCAUCAUCUCCUCACGCUCUCUACUCCCCCACCAGAGCCCCCACUACUCAGAGCCUCCAUUCCUCUAAGGUCCGCACUCUUCCUCAGUGACCCCAUAUCCCAGAGUCCCCUCUCUUCUCCCCCCACUCUUCCUUCAAGCCACCCCUUCCUUCUCAGAAAUCCCUAUGAUUCUCAGAUCCUCACCAACACUCACCAUCCAUCUCCAGAAGCCCUAACACCCAGACCCCUCCUCAGUCCGAAAUCAAUUUUCCCUUCAAGGUCUGGCUGACCAGUGAUCUCACGUUUAUUCAUUCCAUCUACUGCAGUCUGGGCCUAGAAAACCCUAGCACACGGGCACUGAGCUACUGAAGGAUGCUUCCUGAAGGUCUGCUCUGAGGUGUACUGCAGGCCUGGAGUCCCACAGAAGCAAGGGCUGCAUCUUUCAAGGGCCUGUGCCCAGGCAUAUGGCAGAAGGGUCAUCAUCUCUGAAGAUUUCAGGCCUCAGGCCCUAGAAGACAUGUUGCCCACCUUGGAUCCUCAAGUAUCCAGCAUCCCAGUUCAUUCCUGCCUCCUCACAGAGCUGUCUUAGGGCAGGAGGAGUUUUCCCAAAGGGAGAGACAGUCCCAUGUAGUGAAGAAGGGACCUAGAUAUUUUUGGUUCUUCAGCAAUGUGUGCUUUAGUGAUUUAAGACUUUGGCCUCCAAUGGAAGGCUGUUAUUUAGCGUGUGAACCUUAAGAGGCUAUAACCUUGUCUCCUCCUCUCCCGGUGAAGAGGAAGCAGAGAAUCCAGAUUCUGGUCUACACUGUAUCUAGCAGGGUGCCUUUAUGAGCAUCUGAGAGGGAGCUCAUCAUGGCCUGUCUGAGCCUUGAGGGGCCGUAGGGUGAGAUGAUGAGGAAUACCAAGCUGAGGUUGUGACCAACUCUUGACUUUGUGGGGAAUCCAAAGCCCUUUCCCCAGGUGCCUCUCUUGUCCCUUGAUUCAUCUCUGUGCCUUUUGAAGCUAUGCAACCACAGGCCAGAUGGCAACCCCUCUGAGCUACUGUCCUGUGAAAACAAGUGUAAUACUUGCACCACAAGAUGUAAGUGAUGAUUAAAUAAUGCAACUCCAGUGCUA